rnacentral:rRNA from 1 species
GGACUACUGGGGUAUCUAAUCCUGUUUGCUCCCCUAGCUUUCGUUCCUCAGCGUCAGUUGCGAUCCAGCCAGCCGCCUUCGCCACGGGUGUUCCUGCAGAUAUCUACGCAUUUCACCGCUACACCUGCAAUUCCACUGGCCUCUCUCGCACUCGAGCACGGCAGUUUCGAAAGCAGCCUCUGAGUUAAGCCCAGAGAUUUCACUCCCGACUUGCCGCGCCGCCUACGAACCCUUUACGCCCAGUAAUUCCGAGCAACGCUGGCCCCCUACGUAUUACCGCGGCUGCUGGCAC